AGUACUUGACGUUGAUUUACAGUCUCUUUUCUACACUGUGAUCACAUCUCAAAAUAAAAUGUCAAGCAAAAUCGUAAAGACUCAACAUGAAGUGCCGUAUUCAACAUAAUCAAAAUACGUACAACAAUGGACCCCCAAACAUGCUCCGGUGGAAAUCUAAAAAACGGGCCUCAAACUUCGUUAGAAUCUGGUAAUGACAUCUCUGUCACCAAAGCCCACUGCCAAAUGAAUCAUGCAAAUCUUCUCGUUUCACACGUGUCGAUGGACCAUGGUAUUGGAUCGUUGUUGUUUUUCUGCUUUUUUGUAUAUUGUUCCAGUAUGGUUGUACGUCGACUUAUGGGAUCCUUUUCCCAGACAUUUUACGAGGGUUAAAAUCGAGUGGCGCUCUAACGGCAAUCCCUGGCUUUGCUGCCGUUUCUAACACGGGUAUACUAGGAGUAUUCAUUGGUAAACUAUGCGAUCAAUUUGGAAGCCGUAAGAUCCUAUUCACUGGUAGCAUUCUCUCUUCAAUAGGAAUGGUAUCAUCCUCAUAUGCUCCGAAUAUCGGUGUGUUAAUUGGGACUUUUGGAUUUCUUCUCGGAACUGGAAGCUGUAUGGUGUAUUUCAGUGCAAUGAUGGCCAUUCCAUUAUACUUUGAUAAAUACAAGUUCGAAGCAUUUUCUAUAGUUUCAAGUGGUCUAGGCUCUUCAUUGUUACUAAUGACUCCAAUUGUGCAGAAACUUUGAUUUGUUUAUGCAAAUAUGUUUUCUUUCCAUGUGUUGAGAACACAGUUUAAAAUCGGGUAUCCUAACAUAUGAAUAAUACCAAAAAAUACAGUCUUCCCGUUUGAUAAUGAGUCCAUGAACUAUUAAUGAGGCACUAUUGUGCAUUUAUAGACAUCUGUUAAUUAUUUCUAUAUUUAUACCGAUAGGUUAUAUAGCAGAUGUCAGCGGAUCGUAUAAAACUGCUUUUUACCUUGCUAGCUCCCUGCAUGUCUAUGCUGUUUGUUUAGGUUUAUCAAGUCUUCGGACAAACAUAAUAUCCAWCCAACCAACCUAUAAAUGAACCAAGCAACCAACCAAUCAUCAAGCAGCCAACCAACCUACCAACCAAUCAAUCACCAACCAGGCAGCCAGCCAACCAACCUAUAACCAACCAAACGGCCAAACAACCAAUCAACCAACCAACCAGCCAGCCAACCAGCCAAAAKUUACCAUUUUACAGAGAAUUUAUGUGAUUGGAGGUAUGGUUAACAUACCCCCUAGACAUCUUUACGGCUUUUAAUGGGUUUGAUAGAAUGUUACAAAGGCUCUAAGUGAAUUAUAUACUUUAGGUCCUUACGGACAAUUUGUGCAUGCCUGAGUUUGGCGGCUAUUGUGGAGAAAGGACUAUUCCUUUUCAGUGGAUACAAAGUAAUAUAUGUGAUAAUGGAAAUGACAGCUGGCAUCGUUUAUCAAGCUUGUCCAUUUCCUCAUGGGAUUUUGCUCGUAACUUCCGUCCAAAGACCUAGAACAACUAUGUUGUGUAUGUAUAUAGGAAUAUACAUCAUAGCUGGCAACUAACUGAAAAGGUACUCCUGUAGUAAAGGCCAAAUUAGACGGCACAACUUUAGCCUACAACCAUCACAUGCAACCAGGCGCGUAGCGUCCUUUACGCAUAUACGCACGUGCGUACUAAUGGAAAUGAAAUAUAAAAAUUUUCACAAAAACUGAAAAAUUCACAUAAAAAUGAUCCCUUUCUAUACAUCCUCGAUGUCUCUGAGAAUACUGGAAAUCGCAUUUCCAAGAGUUAUUAUUUCAAAAUUUCCUGGUGGCGGUCCAGACUCCCUUAAUACUCGCCUUUGGCGGUCGUUAGACCCCUAGAUACAAAAUAUGUGUCGCGGUCCCUGACAUGUGCGUACUAGCCAAAAAGUCCACGCUACGCGCCUGGCAGCACCUAAGUCAUCCUUACAACAUGUUGUAAAGACGACUUGGGUGGUUGCAUAUGAGUAGCCUUGACAGAAACAUUACCGCCGAACCAAAACUAUAAAGAGGAAUAAAAGAAUACUUCAAUAUCGUUUGGCUUAAAUCUAAACGUUCCGGCCAUAAAAGUACAUUCAUUAUUGUAGCUGCACCCAACUGGUGKUUGAUAAGCUCCGGGUUUUKUGUACGAGUUUGGUGAACUACCUGCAAGAUUAGCAAUGUAAAUAUCAUGUGGAUAGCCAAAUGUUGGUCCAUAAGUGGUAUAACCAAAUAUGGCUUUAUGGUUGUACUGUCCAGUCAGGUUGAACAUGAUUGGUUGGUAACCGUUGGUGUUGUACAAGGAGAACAAAAACGACUUGCUUGAAGUGACAUAAAUAUKACCUGGAAAAUAAUAAUACUCAUUAAAUAUAUGCUGAGUUUUGA